CGUCGUUUUGGCGUUAAAUUCAAUUUUUUUUUUUUCAUUUCUCUCUCAAUCGUUGAGACAGCCCUAACCCUUCAAGAGUGAGCCGACUCGAACGGUUCCUCUGACGCAGAGGAGGGUGAGCAACGACGACUCCGGAGGCGACAGCGGUUGCAGCUGGGCGAGGUGAGGCGGCUGUGAGGAAACACCUUUUUAACAUGAUAAAUGAUCUUCCAACAAUAUUUGAAGUUGUGACAGGGACGGCCAAGAAACAAGUGAAGGAGAAGUCAUCAGUCUCAAAUCACAGCAAUAGCAAAUCUAAGUCAAAUUCUAAGGUGCCCAACCAAGGUAAUUUGACAGUGGAACAUACUCUAUGCGGCCAUGAAAACCCUGUUUCUUUUCUCUCUAGGGUCUUGACGACUCCGUGAUAGCAACAAAAUGGAGCAUCUGCAUAUGGAUUGCUGUUUCUCAUAUCAACUACGAUUCAUCGUCAUCAAUUCAUUUCAUGAUCAAGCGUCGUCGUCGUUGAUCUCCGAGCAUGUUUCGUUCAAGUUACUGAUGCUAACUGGUUGAAACAAUCUUCUGAUGAUAUUCAUGUGAAA